CCUACGGGUGGCAGCAGUGAGGAAUAUUGGUCAAUGGCCGCGAGCCUGAACCAGCCAAGUCGCGUGAAGGAUGACUGCCCUACGGGUUGUAAACCUCUUUUAUCCAGGAAUAAAGCGAGUCACGUGUGCCUUUUUUUAUGUACUUUAUGAAUACGCAUCGGCUAACUCCGUGCCAUCAGCCGCGGUAAUACGGAGGAUCCAAGCGUUCUCCGGAUUUAUUGGGUUUAAAGGGGGCGUAGUAGGGUUGUGAAGUCAGUUGUGAAAGUUUCGGGCUCAACCGUAAAAUUGCAAUUGAUACUGGCAGCCUUGAGUACAGGUGAGGUAGGCGGAAUGCGUGGUGUAGCGGUGAAAUGCUUAGAUAUCACGAAGAACUCCGAUUGCGAAGGCAGCAUACUAAACUGCAACUGACAUUGAUGCUCGAAAGUGUGGGUAUCAAACAGGAUUAGAUACCCGUGUAGUC
rnacentral:rRNA from 1 species